UACGUAGGGGGCAAGCGUUGUCCGGAUUUAUUGGGCGUAAAGAGCGUGUAGGCGGCUUGGUAGGUCCGCUGUGAAAACUCGAGGCUCAACCUCGAGAUGUCGGCGGAAACCACUUGGCUAGAGUCCGGAAGAGGAGAGUGGAAUUCCUGGUGUAGCGGUGAAAUGCGUAGAUAUCGUAAGGAAGACCAGUGGCGAGGGCGGGUCUCUGGACAGUUCCUGACGCUGAGGCACGAAGGUCAGGGGAGCAAACGGG
rnacentral:rRNA from 1 species